rnacentral:rRNA from 1 species
CAUAGGUUAAUGAGGCGAACCGGGGGAACUGAAACAUCUAAGUACCCCGAGGAAAAGAAAUCAACCGAGAUUCCCCCAGUAGCGGCGAGCGAACGGGGAGGAGCCCAGAGCCUGAAUCAGUGUGUGUGUUAGUGGAAGCGUCUGGAAAGGCGCGCGAUACAGGGUGACAGCCCCGUACACAAAAAUGCACAUGCUGUGAGCUCGAUGAGUAGGGCGGGACACGUGGUAUCCUGUCUGAAUAUGGGGGGACCAUCCUCCAAGGCUAAAUACUCCUGACUGACCGAUAGUGAACCAGUACCGUGAGGGAAAGGCGAAAAGAACCCCGGCGAGGGGAGUGAAAAAGAACCUGAAACCGUGUACGUACAAGCAGUGGGAGCACGCUUAGGCGUGUGACUGCGUACCUUUUGUAUAAUGGGUCAGCGACUUAUAUUCUGUAGCAAGGUUAACCGAAUAGGGGAGCCGAAGGGAAACCGAGUCUUAACUGGGCGUUAAGUUGCAGGGUAUAGACCCGAAACCCGGUGAUCUAGCCAUGGGCAGGUUGAAGGUUGGGUAACACUAACUGGAGGACCGAACCGACUAAUGUUGAAAAAUUAGCGGAUGACUUGUGGCUGGGGGUGAAAGGCCAAUCAAACCGGGAGAUAGCUGGUUCUCCCCGAAAGCUAUUUAGGUAGCGCCUCGUGAAUUCAUCUCCGGGGGUAGAGCACUGUUUCGGCAAGGGGGUCAUCCCGACUUACCAACCCGAUGCAAACUGCGAAUACCGGAGAAUGUUAUCACGGGAGACACACGGCGGGUGCUAACGUCCGUCGUGAAGAGGGAAACAACCCAGACCGCCAGCUAAGGUCCCAAAGUCAUGGUUAAGUGGGAAACGAUGUGGGAAGGCCCAGACAGCCAGGAUGUUGGCUUAGAAGCAGCCAUCAUUUAAAGAAAGCGUAAUAGCUCACUGGUCGAGUCGGCCUGCGCGGAAGAUGUAACGGGGCUAAACCAUGCACCGAAGCUGCGGCAGCGACGCUUAUGCGUUGUUGGGUAGGGGAGCGUUCUGUAAGCCUGUGAAGGUGUGCUGUGAGGCAUGCUGGAGGUAUCAGAAGUGCGAAUGCUGACAUAAGUAACGAUAAAGCGGGUGAAAAGCCCGCUCGCCGGAAGACCAAGGGUUCCUGUCCAACGUUAAUCGGGGCAGGGUGAGUCGACCCCUAAGGCGAGGCCGAAAGGCGUAGUCGAUGGGAAACAGGUUAAUAUUCCUGUACU